AACGAACGCUGGCGGCAUGCCUAACACAUGCAAGUCGAACGAGACCUUCGGGUCUAGUGGCGCACGGGUGCGUAACGCGUGGGAACCUGCCUUUAGGUUCGGAAUAACUCAGAGAAAUUUGAGCUAAUACCGGAUGAUGUCUUCGGACCAAAGAUUUAUCGCCUUUAGAUGGGCCCGCGUUGGAUUAGCUAGUUGGUGGGGUAAAGGCCUACCAAGGCGACGAUCCAUAGCUGGUCUGAGAGGAUGAUCAGCCACACUGGGACUGAGACACGGCCCAGACUCCUACGGGAGGCAGCAGUGGGGAAUAUUGGACAAUGGGCGAAAGCCUGAUCCAGCAAUGCCGCGUGAGUGAUGAAGGCCUUAGGGUUGUAAAGCUCUUUUACCCGAGAUGAUAAUGACAGUAUCGGGAGAAUAAGCUCCGGCCAACUCCGUG
rnacentral:rRNA from 1 species